AUUGAACGCUGGCGGCAGGCCUAACACAUGCAAGUCGAACGAGCGGCGGACGGGUGAGUAAUGUAUGGGGACUGCCCGAUAGAGGGGGAUAACUACUGGAAAAGGUGGCUAAUACCGCAUACUAUCGAAUAAGCCAUAGGGGAUUGGCUAGUAGGGGGGGGAAAGGCUCACCGAGGCGACGAUCUCUAGCUGGGCUGAGAGGAUGAUCAGCCAACCGGGAACUGAGAAACGCCCAAGAUGCCUCCGGAGCCAGCAGUGGGGAACAUCGCAAAUGGGGCGAAAGCUUGAUGCAGCACUGCCGCGUGUAUGAAGAAGGCCUUAGGGUUGUAAAGUACGUUCAGCGGGGAGGCGUUACCCGAAGAAGAAGCACCGGCUAACUCCGUGCCAGCAGCCGCGGUAAUAC
rnacentral:rRNA from 1 species